GGUUCUAUAGUGUAGUGGUAGCACAUUAGACUCUGAAUCUAAUAACCCGAGUUCGAACCUCGGUAGGACCU
rfam:Neocallimastix californiae strain G1 LY90scaffold_288, whole genome shotgun sequence.